GACGAACCGUGCGAACGUUAUUCGGAAUCACUGGGCUUAAAGCGCGUGUAGGCGGGCCGCCACGUCGGCUGCUGAAAUCCCCCGGCUCAACCGGGGAACGGGCACCGAUACGAGCGGCCUCGAGGGGGGUAGGGGGGUCUGGAACUUCCGGUGGAGCGGUGAAAUGCGUUGAGAUCGGAAGGAACGCCCGUGGCGAAAGCGAGGCCCUGGACCCUUACUGACGCUGAGACGCGAAAGCCAGGAGAGCGAACGGG
rnacentral:rRNA from 1 species